rnacentral:lncRNA from 1 species
AACUUUGUUAUUAUUAUUAUAUAGAUAUUUAUAAAAUCUUCUUCCCUUCCGAUGUUUUUAAAAGCAGUAAUUGCUUUCAUCAUAUAAUUCAUUGUGUUGAAGGCACAGUUUUCAUAUUUUAGCAUUUCUCAGAGUGUAACAAUUGGAGGCAUGUCAUCAUUAAUUGACAGCAUUUUCCUUUCUUAAUGGUGCACAGAUUAAUGAAAGGGCCUCAGAACUGAUGACAUCUUAGAGCCAGUAGAUGCAGUAAAGUAUAAAAGGUUUAAGAUGGAGAAGAAUUAAAGUGCUACAGUCAUUCAGUUAACAUCCGUUCUAGUAGUGGGACAGACUUGUUAAGUGCCAGGAUAGAAACUGGGUAGCCCAGGAAAGAUGCCCAGAGGAGGGGACGUCUACUUGGAGAUGUAAAGGCUGAUGUAGGAUAGAAAUACCUGGAGGAAAUGCCUUUGAGAGUACAGAUCUCAAAGCAAGGCUUGUUGGACAAAUAAAUGAAGAUGAGCCCAAGAGCCCAGGAGAGGGACCGGGAACAGCAGGGCCUCCGUGACUCACACAAGCUUCAUCCCUGAACCAAGGACGCAGCCUGCCAACAAUGGCCCCAAGCCACACCCCGCCACAGGGGGAACUGAUGCUGCGGUGAGAAGUGACAGCUUUCUGUUGACUCUUUUUUUUUUCAAGCAGAAUAUGAAUUGAGACAUACUUUCAUUUUCAUAAUCAGAACCUAACACUUAGUAACCAAUGUUGGUGGAAGCAAAUGAGAUCACAGUUUGUCUGUUCCAAACUCAUCUCUGGGAAAAGGAGGAGGAAAAAUUAUUGGCACUAUGUUCAGAAUCAUAGCUGAAGAUGCAGAAAUUGUUCAUCCCAAUUUUGCCUUUGUAAGUAAUGUGGGGGCAGUUCUUAUUAGUAAUUGCCAAUCUCUACUGAGACACAGUAUUUUGCUAGGCGCUUUAUAUUCAUUUCCUGGUAUGAUCAUGACAUUAACCCUGUGAAAUGCGUACCCUUACUAUCUCCAUGUGAAGAAAUGAGGGAACUGAGGACCAGAGAGGUGAACUGACUUGUCCAAAGACACACAGUAAGGGCUGUGACUCUCCGCUUUCUAAGAUUUUUGUUCUUAUCGCUCCACAGCACAUAGCAGGCGUAGUAUGAAGGCAGCAUGCUGCACAAUUUCGCUGUUUGUUUCUUGGAAUAAUAAUUUAUAGGGGACUGCUUCUAGAUUCCAAAGGAAAGAGAAAGGAAAUAUGCCCCAAACUCAGGCUUUCAGCCUGGCCCUGCCUGACUCACUGAGCUGCAUUGGACAAAUGAUUCAUUCACUGGCCUUGACCUCAGUGGGUUUGGCCACCCAUUGAGAGUGAAGUCACACCUCCAGCACUGCGAUGCAUUUAUUGAUCCACUCACCUAGCUUCAUGGCAGGCAAGAAACAGGCCUGUGUGAGCCUGCCCAGGAUCAGGGACAGGAGAGCACACAGGUGUUUCUGGAUAUCCUCAAGCUGUAGCUGGGCUGCUCGAUUCUUCCCUAGGAGAUCCUCCGGGGGCCUGAAUUAGUUUGCUAGGGCUUCCGUAACAAAGCGCCACAGACUGAGCGGCUUAAAUAAAAAUGUGUCAUCUCAUGGUUCUGGAGGCUGGAAGUCUGAGAUCAAGGUGCUGGGGAUUAGGACUUGAACAUAUGUUUUUUGGGGGCACACUUCAACCCUCCGGAGGGCCUGUGCCCCAAAGAGAGCCUCCUUCUGUGUGCAGUGAAGGUGUGAGUUCUAAACAUGAGAAAAAAACACCCCUUGUUCUUGGAUAGGGUGACUCGAUACCACAAGCAGGUCCAACUGGCCCAGGUAAAUAUAUUCGUUUAACAUGAUCGUCACCAAAAUAUUGAGGGUAGGUGUUUUUUUCUGGAGUUAAACAAGUUGAUUCUGGAGUUGAUAUGAAAUAAUAAACAAGCAAAAAUAG